CCGUGCAAAGGUAGCACAAUCACUUGUCUCCUAAAUCGAGACCUGUAUGAAUGGCAUCACGAGGAUUCAACUGUCUCCCCUCACCAAUCAGUGAAACUAAUCUCCCUGUGAAAAAGCAGGACUACUUAUACAAGACGAGAAGACCCUAUGGAGCUUUAAACCACUAACACUUGCUCUACUUCCCAUAACCAUUUAGCAUAGUACUUACACGUUUUCGGUUGGGGCGACCCUGGAGAAAAACCUAACCUCCAUGCUGUUAAAUAUAUGAACCUCAAUUCUACAAUCAACAUAUUGACACAAUUGACCCAAACAUUUGAUCAACGAACCAAGUUACCCUAGGGAUAACAGCGCCAUCCACUUCAAGAGUACAUAUCUACAAGUGGGCUUACGACCUCGAUG
rnacentral:rRNA from 1 species